rnacentral:misc_RNA from 1 species
GAUGAAGAACGUAGCGAAAUGCGAUAAGUAAUGUGAAUUGCAGAAUUCAGUGAAUCAUCGAAUUUUUGAACGCACCUUGCGCUCUUUGGUAUUCCGAGGAGCAUGCCUGUUUGAGUGUCAUGAAAUUCUCAACCUAUCUAGUUUUUGUAGCUAGCGAGGCUUGGAACAUGGGAGUUUGUUGGCUUUUGUCAGCUCUUCUCAAAUGUAGUAGCAGGAGCAUUCGCUGAAUUAUCUUCGAUAUGAUAAAUUAUUUAUAACGUUGAUAACUUCUCCGGCUUCUGGCUUAUUAAUUAUACUUCGGUCGUCUUCGGACGGCGGUAUAUACUCAAAUCAUCUUUUGACCUCAAAUCAGGUAGGACUACCCGCUGAACUUAAGCAUAUCAAUAAGCGGAGGA